rnacentral:rRNA from 1 species
UACGGGGGGGGCAAGCGUUGUUCGGAUUUACUGGGCGUAAAGGGCGCGUAGGCGGUCAGCACAAGUCAGUUGUGAAAUCUCCGGGCUUAACUCGGAAAGGUCAACUGAUACUGUGCGACUAGAGUGCAGAAGGGGCAACUGGAAUUCUCGGUGUAGCGGUGAAAUGCGUAGAUAUCGAGAGGAACACCUGCGGCGAAGGCGGGUUGCUGGGCUGACACUGACGCUGAUGCGCGAAAGCCAGGGAGCGAAGCGGG